GUAACACGUGGGAAACCUGCCCAGAAGCGGGGGAUAACACCUGGAAACAGAUGCUAAUACCGCAUAACAACUUGGACCGCAUGGUCCGAGCUUGAAAGAUGGCUUCGGCUAUCACUUUUGGAUGGUCCCGCGGCGUAUUAGCUAGAUGGUGGGGUAACGGCUCACCAUGGCAAUGAUACGUAGCCGACCUGAGAGGGUAAUCGGCCACAUUGGGACUGAGACACGGCCCAAACUCCUACGGGAGGCAGCAGUAGGGAAUCUUCCACAAUGGACGAAAGUCUGAUGGAGCAACGCCGCGUGAGUGAAGAAGGGUUUCGGCUCGUAAAACUCUGUUGUUAAAGAAGAACAUAUCUGAGAGUAACUGUUCAGGUAUUGACGGUAGGUCUUGACAUACUAUGCAAAUCUAAGAGAUUAGACGUUCCCUUCGGGGACAUGGAUACAGGUGGUGCAUGGUUGUCGUCAGCUCGUGUCGUGAGAUGUUGGGUUAAGUCCCGCAACGAGCGCAACCCUUAUUAUCAGUUGCCAGCAUUAAGUUGGGCACUCUGGUGAGACUGCCGGUGACAAACCGGAGGAAGGUGGGGAUGACGUCAAAUCAUCAUGCCCCUUAUGACCUGGGCUACACACGUGCUACAAUGGAUGGUACAACGAGUUGCGAACUCGCGAGAGUAAGCUAAUCUCUUAAAGCCAUUCUCAGUUCGGAUUGUAGGCUGCAACUCGCCUACAUGAAGUCGGAAUCGCUAGUAAUCGCGGAUCAGCAUGCCGCGGUGAAUACGUUCCCGGGCCUUGUACACACCGCCCGUCACACCAUGAGAGUUUGUAAUACCCAAAGUCGGUGGGGUAACCUUUUAGGAACC
rnacentral:rRNA from 2 species